AGGAGCAACAGCCCCAGUGGCGGGGCAGCUCUGGAAACCUGGAUUCAGCCCCCGCAGGAACUCCGGAGCUCUCCGUCUGCAGGGCCUGGAGGCUCCGGGGCGGG
rfam:Canis lupus familiaris chromosome 1, whole genome shotgun sequence.